rnacentral:tRNA from 1 species
CCGUCCAUAGCACAGCUGGAUAGUGCAGCAGAUUCCGAUUCUGAAGGUCGGGGGUUCAAAUCCUCUUGGGCGGGCCA